rnacentral:rRNA from 1 species
CAAACAUCAUGACAGGUUAAUCUUUGAAUGCAAAUUGCGCUAAACUCGAUCUCGGUCGAGAAGCAUGGGUGUGACAGUACUACAUCUUUUAUAAUAAUUCUUAUUCUAAGCGAAUAAGUAAAUAAUAUAUAAGACAAACAACACGUAGUCUGCCAUACGCAGGAAGACCCGCUGAACUGAAGCAUCUCAUUAAGCGG